rnacentral:misc_RNA from 1 species
CAACGACCCGCAACAGAAGCGGCAGCGGCGGCUGGAGGAGGGGAACAGCGCUAACUGUUUGUCACUUAUUCUUGACCGGUAAGCAAAUGAUUGCGUUUUAUGGGGCCUGCCAACUCGAUCCAAAACGAUGCUUUUGAGGUUAUGUAUGUGUGCCGCAGUAAGGCUUAGGCAAAAUCAAUUUUGCAAUAUAACUUUGAGUAAAACUUAAAUUGAAUCAACAAAGGAAACGCAAAGGAACGGAAAGGAAGAUGAUGCCUGGUCCUGGUCCUGGUCCCCGGUGUUCUCCUGGCAUUCUGUUCGACGAUCCUGGCCGACGAAUCCAUCGACACACGUGAGAAUGCGGA